rnacentral:misc_RNA from 1 species
UGUGGCAUCCAAGUGAGCAAAGGUGGUAGCAGGGGCAGGAUCAGUCAAAUCAUCAGCAGGCACAUAGAUAGCUUGUACAGAGGUAAUAGAUCCUUUCUUAGUGGUGGUAAUACGUUCUUGAAGGCCUCCCAGAUCAGUAGCCAAGGUUGGUUGGUAACCAACAGCAGAUGGAAUACGUCCAAGCAGUGCAGACACCUCUGAGUUAGCCUGGGUAAAGCGGAAAAUGUUAUCAAUGAAG